rnacentral:tRNA from 1 species
AGUAAGGUCAGCUAAAAAAGCCUUUGGGCCCAUACCCCAAAAAUGAAGGUUAAAACCCCUCCCUCUCUU